CAGGGACAUAUGUAAUAACAGAAAGUUCAAUCCACCAGAAUAUAUAGGAUCCUAAAAUGUACUCACCAAACAACAGAGCCUCAAAAUACAUUAAACAAAAACUGAUAGAGCUAAAAGUUCAAAGGCCUCUAUGGUUAUAAUCAGGGAAUUCAAAACCUCCAUUUCAGUAAUUGAUAGAACUACUAGAGAGAAAAUCAGCAAGGGUAUAGAAGAUCAGAACAAUACAUAAACCAACAGGAUCUCACUGACAUAAACAGAACACUCCACCCAACAAUAACAAAACACACGCACCCAUGAAACACUCUGGACAGACCAUCAAACAACCUCAAUAAAAGAAUCAAAAUGACAGCAUGUUCUCUGACCACAAUGGAGCCAAACUAGAAAUUAGUAACAGAAACACAUUAGGAGAUGUCUAAACACAUGACUAGAAUUGAUCUAUAGAUUUAAUGCAAUGCCUACUAAAAUCCCAGUACGAUUUUUUACAGGCAUAGACAAUAGACAUAGCCAAAACUUAUUCUAAAAUACAUAUGAAGAUGCACAGGCCCUAGUUAUACAAUCUUGACAAAGAAGAAUAAAGUGGGAAGAAUCUAUUUGAUUUUAAGGCUUACCAUGUAACUAUAGUCAUCAAGAGAGUGUGGUAUCGGCAGACGGUCAGACAUACAGAUCAAUGGAAUGUAACAGAGGACCCAGAAAUAGGCCCACACAGAUAUGCUCAAUGGAUAUUUGACAAGCGUGCAAAACAAUUCAAUGGAAGAAUAAGCUUUCAAAAAAAUGGCGUUGGAGCAACCGGACAUCCAUAGGAAAAAAUGAACCCAUACCUAAACCAUAAACCUUAUAUAAAAAUAAACACAAAAUGAAUCAUAGGCUUAAAUGUAAGCUAUAAAACUUUUAGAGAAAAACACAGGAGAAAAUAUUGUGAUCUAGGGCUAGGAAAAGUUCUAACUUGAUACCUAAAGAAUGACCAUAAAAGGAAAAUGUGGUAAGUUGGUCUUUUUAAAAAUUAAAAGAUUUUGCUCUGUGAAAGAGUAUGUGAAAAAAAUGAAAGAACAAGUUGCCAACUGGGAAAAAAAUGUUUGCAAACCAAAUAUCUGAACUCUGAAGGACUCCAAAACUUAACAUUAAAAAUGAAACUAAACAAUUUUAAAAUGAGUAAAUGACAUGAACAGACAUUUCACCAAACAGGAUAUACAGGUGGCAAACAAGCACAUGAAAAGAUGUUUAACAUCAUUAGCUAUUAGAGAAAUGCAAAUUAAAACUACCAUGAGAUACUACUACACACCCAACAGAAUGGCUAAAAUAAAAUAUAGUAGGCCAGGCAGGGCAGCUCACACUUGUAAUUCCAGCAGCACUUUGGAAGGCCGAGGCGGGCGGGUCACUUGAGCCCAGGAGUUCGAGACCAGCCUGGGCAACAUGGUGAAACCUCAUCUCUACAAAAAUUAGCUGGGCAUUAUGGCACACAACUGUAUUCCCAGCUACUUGGGAAACUGAGGCAGGAGGAUUGCUUGAGCCUGGGAGGUGGAGGUUGCAGUAAGCCAAGAUUGUGCCACUGCAUUCCAGCCUGGGUGACAGUGAGACCCUGUCUCAAAAAAAAAAAAAAAAAGGCAAACCAAAUGCUGGCAAGGAUGUGGAAAAAUUGAAUCACUCCAACAUUGCUGUUGGGAAUGUAAAAUGUGACCAUAACUCUAGAAAAUUUGGUACCUUCUAAUAAAACAUGCAUCUAUCAUGUGACUCAGCAAUUACACUGCUAGAGAUCUGAGAGAAAUGAAAAUGUUUUAUGUUGACGUGAAAACAUGUACAAAUAUGUUCAUUGCAGCUGUAUCUGUAAUAGCCAAACACUGGAUCAGCCCAGAUGUCCUUCAACAGGUAAAACAAAACAUAUCAUGGAAAGUACUCAGCAAUAAAAAGGAAUGAAUAAAAAGAAUGAAACAUUGAUAUAUGUGGCAACUUGAAGGAAUACCGGGGAAUUACACUGAGUGAAAAGCCAAUCCUGAAAGGUUACAUACUGUAUGAUUCCAUUUAUAUAAUAUUCUUGAAAUGACAAAAUCAUAGAAAAAUGGAGGACAGAUUAGUGGUUGCCAGGGGUUACGGAUGGUGGUGUGCAGAAGACAGGGGGGAGGUGGGUGUGAUUAUAAAAGGGCAACACGAGAGAUCUUGUGGUGUUGAAACUGUUCAAUAUCUUAUAGGAUACAUAAACUUACCUAGGUGAUUACACUAUAGAAUUAUAAAUUAUAUAGAAUACAUCAUACAAAUAUUCAUUAAUACAGUGAAACUAGGAAGUCUGAAUAUGAUUGGUGGAUUUGGAGUCUGUAUAUGAUUGGUGGAUUAUAUCAAAGUCAAUGUCCUGGUUGUUAUACUAUAGUUUUACAAAAUCUUACUUUUAGGAGAAACAGGGUAAGGUAUACAGAAUUAUUUGAAUUAUCUCUGAAUUACUUUUUUAGAACUACAUGUGAAUCUAUAUUCAUCUCAAUAAAAUUUUCAUUAAAAAAAUCUGAAUGGGCUGGGCACAGUGGCUCACACCUCUAAUCCCAGCACUUUGGGAGGCUGAGGUGGGUGGAUCACUUGAGGACAGGAGUUCGAGAGCAGCCCGGCCAACGUGGUGAACCCCGUCUCUACUAAAAAUACCAGAAUUAGUCAGGCAUUGUGGUGCAUGCCUGUACUCCCAGCUACUUGGGAGGCUGAGGCAGGAGAAUCACUUGAACCCAGGAGGCAGAGGUUGAAGUGGGCCGAGAUCACACCACUGCACUCCAGCCUGGGCGACAGUGAGACCCUGUUUCAAAAAAAAAAAAAAGAAUCUGAAUGCAUACUACAUGCCAUUACAUGAAUAAUGUCUGUUUCACAGAUGAAGGAACUGAAGUUGAGUGGUUGGUAAACUGACUUAAGAUUACAGAGCUAGUAAGAAGAUGGGCUGGCAUUCAAACUGGUUUGUUCAGCUGAUAACUUAGAAUAUAAUAUAAAUGACUUAAGCGUCCAAUUAGUUGACUGAAGAAGUAAAAAAAUAACUAUUAAUAUAUAACUUCAAAGGGUGAGCAACAUUGUGCUUUCUGCUAAUAUGAUAUAAAUUUAAAAACUUUUGCUUUAGAAUGGUAUGCUAGGACUUAUGUACUAGAGCAUAGUAUCAAGAGUACUAUAAAUAUAAGCGAUUUCUUCGUCUAAUAAUUAUAAAUUUGAAUUAUAAGACUAUCAACAGAAAACAAACACCAAAAAAUACCCAUACCUACUUAAUGUUGGCUUCAGAUUAAAAUAAAAAUAUCCUAAGCCAAGUUUCAGCAAAAUAAUUUUAUUUCCUAACAUAUGGUAACAUAUACAUCCAAUAUGUGCUCCCCUUGCA
rnacentral:lncRNA from 1 species